rnacentral:rRNA from 1 species
GCGCGAAAACUUUACCAUGCGGGCAACCGUGAUAAGGAAACCCCGAGUGCCAGCACAGGCUGGCUGUCCGCCAGUGUAAAUAACUGGUGAAGAAAGGGCCGGGCAAGACCGGUGCCAGCCGCCGCGGUAAUAACGGCGGCUCGAGUGGUGGCCACUAUUACUGGGCUUAAAGGGUCCGUAGCUUGAUGUACAAGUCGCUUGAGAAAUCCGCCGGCUUAACCGGUGAGCGUUCGGGGGAAACUGUAUUUCUAGGGACCGGGAGAGGUGAGAGGUACUGCCGGGGUAGGAGUGAAAUCCUGUAAUCCCGGUGGUACCACCUAUGGCGAAGGCAUCUCACCAGAACGGGUCCGACAGUGAGGGACGAAAGCUGGGGGAGCAA